rnacentral:lncRNA from 1 species
CUUGAACAAGACCCUGACAGCAAAGUUGCUUGUGAGACUUGCACCAAGACCAACAUGGUCAUGGUCUUUGGUGAGAUCACUACCAAGGCUACUGUUGACUCGAGAAGAUUGUCCGUGACACCUGUCGCGCCAUUGGAUUUGUCUCUGAUGAUGUUGGUCUUGAUGCUGACAAGUGCAAAGUCUUAGUCAACAUUGAGCAACAGAGCCCAGACAUUGCUCAAGGAGUUCAUGGUCACUUCACCAAAUGUCCUGAAGAUAUUGGAGCCGGUGACCAAGGCCACAUGUUUGGUUACGCUACUGAUGAAACCCCUGAGUUAAUGCCCC